UUUGGUUAAGUUAGAAAGGGCGCACGGUGGAUGCCUUGACACUAGGAGUCGAUGAAGGACGGGACUAACGCCGAUAUGCUUCGGGGAGCUGUAAGUAAGCUUUGAUCCGAAGAUUUCCGAAUGGGGAAACCCACCAUACGUAAUGGUAUGGUAUCCUUAUCUGAAUACAUAGGGUAAGGAAGACAGACCCAGGGAACUGAAACAUCUAAGUACCUGGAGGAAGAGAAAGCAAAUGCGAUUUCCUGAGUAGCGGCGAGCGAAACGGAACAUAGCCCAAACCAACAGGCUUGCCUCUUGGGGUUGUAGGACAUUCUAUACGGAGUUACAAAGGAACGAGGUAGACGAAGCGACCUGGAAAGGUCCGUCGUAGAGGGUAACAACCCCGUAGUCGAAACUUCGUUCUCUCUUGAAUGUAUCCUGAGUACGGCGGAACACGUGAAAUUCCGUCGGAAUCUGGGAGGACCAUCUCCCAAGGCUAAAUACUCCCUAGUGAUCGAUAGUGAACCAGUACCGUGAGGGAAAGGUGAAAAGCACCCCGGAAGGGGAGUGAAAGAGAUCCUGAAACCGUGUGCCUACAAAUAGUCAGAGCCCGUUAACGGGUGAUGGCGUGCCUUUUGUAGAAUGAACCGGCGAGUUACGAUCCCGUGCGAGGUUAAGCUGAAGAGGCGGAGCCGCAGCGAAAGCGAGUCUGAAUAGGGCGUUUAGUACGUGGUCGUAGACCCGAAACCAGGUGAUCUACCCAUGUCCAGGGUGAAGUUCAGGUAACACUGAAUGGAGGCCCGAACCCACGCACGUUGAAAAGUGCGGGGAUGAGGUGUGGGUAGCGGAGAAAUUCCAAUCGAACCUGGAGAUAGCUGGUUCUCCCCGAAAUAGCUUUAGGGCUAGCCUUAAGUGUAAGAGUCUUGGAGGUAGAGCACUGAUUGGACUAGGGGUCCUCAUCGGAUUACCGAAUUCAGUCAAACUCCGAAUGCCAAUGACUUAUCCUUAGGAGUCAGACUGCGAGUGAUAAGAUCCGUAGUCAAAAGGGAAACAGCCCAGACCGCCAGCUAAGGUCCCAAAGUGUGUAUUAAGUGGAAAAGGAUGUGGAGUUGCUUAGACAACUAGGAUGUUGGCUUAGAAGCAGCCACCAUUUAAAGAGUGCGUAAUAGCUCACUAGUCGAGUGACUCUGCGCCGAAAAUGUACCGGGGCUAAAUACACCACCGAAGCUGCGGAUUGAUACCAAUGGUAUCAGUGGUAGGGGAGCGUUCUAAGGACAGUGAAGUCAGACCGGAAGGACUGGUGGAGUGCUUAGAAGUGAGAAUGCCGGUAUGAGUAGCGAAAGACGGGUGAGAAUCCCGUCCACCGAAUGCCUAAGGUUUCCUGAGGAAGGCUCGUCCGCUCAGGGUUAGUCAGGACCUAAGCCGAGGCCGACAGGCGUAGGCGAUGGACAACAGGUUGAUAUUCCUGUACCACCUCUUUAUCGUUUGAGCAAUGGAGGGACGCAGAAGGAUAGAAGAAGCGUGCGAUUGGUUGUGCACGUCCAAGCAGUUAGGCUGAUAAGUAGGCAAAUCCGCUUAUCGUGAAGGCUGAGCUGUGAUGGGGAAGCUCCUUAUGGAGCGAAGUCUUUGAUUCCCCGCUGCCAAGAAAAGCUUCUAGCGAGAUAAAAGGUGCCUGUACCGCAAACCGACACAGGUAGGCGAGGAGAGAAUCCUAAGGUGUGCGAGAGAACUCUGGUUAAGGAACUCGGCAAAAUGACCCCGUAACUUCGGGAGAAGGGGUGCUUUCUUAACGGAAAGCCGCAGUGAAUAGGCCCAAGCGACUGUUUAGCAAAAACACAGCUCUCUGCGAAGCCGUAAGGCGAAGUAUAGGGGGUGACACCUGCCCGGUGCUGGAAGGUUAAGGAGAGGGGUUAGCGUAAGCGAAGCUCUGAACUGAAGCCCCAGUAAACGGCGGCCGUAACUAUAACGGUCCUAAGGUAGCGAAAUUCCUUGUCGGGUAAGUUCCGACCCGCACGAAAGGUGUAACGAUUUGGGCACUGUCUCAACCAGAGACUCGGUGAAAUUAUAGUACCUGUGAAGAUGCAGGUUACCCGCGACAGGACGGAAAGACCCCGUGGAGCUUUACUGUAGCCUGAUAUUGAAUUUUGGUACAGUUUGUACAGGAUAGGCGGGAGCCUUUGAAACCGGAGCGCUAGCUUCGGUGGAGGCGCUGGUGGGAUACCGCCCUGACUGUAUUGAAAUUCUAACCUACGGGUCUUAUCGACCCGGGAGACAGUGUCAGGUGGGCAGUUUGACUGGGGCGGUCGCCUCCUAAAGUGUAACGGAGGCGCCCAAAGGUUCCCUCAGAAUGGUUGGAAAUCAUUCGUAGAGUGCAAAGGCAUAAGGGAGCUUGACUGCGAGACCUACAAGUCGAGCAGGGACGAAAGUCGGGCUUAGUGAUCCGGUGGUUCCGCAUGGAAGGGCCAUCGCUCAACGGAUAAAAGCUACCCCGGGGAUAACAGGCUUAUCUCCCCCAAGAGUCCACAUCGACGGGGAGGUUUGGCACCUCGAUGUCGGCUCAUCGCAUCCUGGGGCUGUAGUCGGUCCCAAGGGUUGGGCUGUUCGCCCAUUAAAGCGGUACGCGAGCUGGGUUCAGAACGUCGUGAGACAGUUCGGUCCCUAUCCGUCGUGGGCGUAGGAAAUUUGAGAGGAGCUGUCCUUAGUACGAGAGGACCGGGAUGGACGCACCGCUGGUGUACCAGUUGUUCUGCCAAGGGCAUAGCUGGGUAGCUAUGUGCGGAAAGGAUAAGUGCUGAAAGCAUCUAAGCAUGAAGCCCCCCUCAAGAUGAGAUUUCCCAUAGCGUAAGCUAGUAAGAUCCCUGAAAGAUGAUCAGGUUGAUAGGUUCGAGGUGGAAGCAUGGUGACAUGUGGAGCUGACGAAUACUAAUAGAUCGAGGACUUAACCAUAUAA
rnacentral:rRNA from 1 species